AAAUGCGAUAAGUAAUGUGAAUUGCAGAAUUCAGUGAAUCAUCGAAUCUUUGAACGCACCUUGCGCUCCUUGGUAUUCCUUGGAGCAUGCCUGUUUGAGUAUCAUGAAAUCUUCAAAGUAAAUCUUUUGUUAACUCAAUUGGUUUCUACUUUGGUAUUGGAGGUCUUUGCAGCUUCACACCUGCUCCUCUUUGUUCAUUAGCUGGAUCUCAGCGUUAUGCUUGGUUCCACUCGGCGUGAUAAGUUAUCUAUCGCUGAGGACACUGUAAAAGGUGGCCAAGGUAAAUGCAGAUGAACCGCUUCUAAUAGUCCAUUGACUUGGACAAUACUUUUAUGAUCUGAUCUCAAAUCAGGUAGGACUACCCGCUGAACUUAAGC
rnacentral:misc_RNA from 1 species